rnacentral:rRNA from 1 species
GACAGAGGGUGCAAACGUUGCUCGGAAUCACUGGGCGUAAAGGGCGUGUAGGCGGGCAGGAAAGUCGGAUGUGAAAGCCCUGGGCUCAACCCAGGAACUGCAUUUGAAACUCCCUUUCUUGAGUGUCGGAGAGGAAAGCGGAAUUCCUGGUGUAGAGGUGAAAUUCGUAGAUAUCAAGCGGAACACCGGUGGCGAAGGCGGUUCUCUGGGCCUUACCUGACGCUGAGGAGCGAAAGCAUGGGGAGCAAACAGG